rnacentral:tRNA from 1 species
GGGGCAACCGUUUCUGUGGUUCUCGUUGUGAAAUCAGCGGACUCUGACUCCGUCAAUCUAGGUUCGAAUCCUAGUUCCCCA